rnacentral:rRNA from 1 species
AUUGAACGCUGGCGGAAUGCUUACACAUGCAAGUCGAACGGUAGAGGGGGCAACCCCUCGAGAGUGGCGAACGGGUGAGUAAUAUAUCGGAACGUGCCCAGUCGUGGGGGAUAACGUAGCGAAAGUUACGCUAAUACCGCAUACGAUCUAAGGAUGAAAGCGGGGGAUCGCAAGACCUCGCGCGAUUGGAGCGGCCGAUAUCAGAUUAGGUAGUUGGUGGGGUAAAGGCUCACCAAGCCAACGAUCUGUAGCUGGUCUGAGAGGACGACCAGCCACACUGGAACUGAGACACGGUCCAGACUCCUACGGGAGGCAGCAGUGGGGAAUUUUGGACAAUGGACGCAAGCCUGAUCCAGCCAUUCCGCGUGCAGGACGAAGGCCUUCGGGUUGUAAACUGCUUUUGUACGGAACGAAAAGGCUCUGGUUAAUACCUGGGGCUCAUGACGGUACCGUAAGAAUAAGCACCGGCUAACUACGUGCCAGCAGCCGCAGUAA